UACAGAGGGGGCAAGCGUUGUCCGGAAUCAUUGGGCGUAAAGAGCGUGUAGGCGGCCCGAUAAGUCCGCUGUGAAAGUCCAGGGCUCAACCCUGGAAUGCCAGUGGAAACUGUCGGGCUAGAGUCCGGAAGAGGCGAGUGGAAUUCCUGGUGUAGCGGUGAAAUGCGCAGAUAUCAGGAAGAACACCCGUGGCGAAGGCGGUUCUCUGGGACGGUACUGACGCUGAGACGCGAAAGCGUGGGGAGCGAACAGG
rnacentral:rRNA from 1 species